GACGAACGCUGGCGGCGUGCUUAACACAUGCAAGUCGAACGGUAAGGCCCUUCGGGGUACACGAGUGGCGAACGGGUGAGUAACACGUGGGUGAUCUGCCCUGCACUUCGGGAUAAGCCUGGGAAACUGGGUCUGAUACCGGAUAGGACCACUGCCUGCAUGGGUGGUGGGGGAAAGCUUUUGCGGUGUGGGAUGGGCCCGCGGCCUAUCAGCUUGUUGGUGGGGUGAUGGCCUACCAAGGCGGCGACGGGUAGCCGGCCUGAGAGGGUGACCGGCCACACUGGGACUGAGAUACGGCCCAGACUCCUACGGGAGGCAGCAGUGGGGAAUAUUGCACAAUGGGCGCAAGCCUGAUGCAGCGACGCCGCGUGAGGGAUGACGGCCUUCGGGUUGUAAACCUCUUUCAGCACCGACGAAGCGCAAGUGACGGUAGGUGCAGAAGAAGGACCGGCCAACUACGUGCCAGCCGCCGCCGUAA
rnacentral:rRNA from 1 species